rnacentral:rRNA from 1 species
GUCUACGGCCAUACCACCCUGAAUGCGCCCAAUCUCGUCUGAUCUUGGAAACUAAGCAGGGUCGGGCCUGGUUAGUACUUGGAUGGAAGAAGUCAGCUUACUGUUCC